rnacentral:tRNA from 1 species
AAUUCAUGCUCCCAUGUAUGAAAACAUGGCUUUUUCA